rnacentral:rRNA from 1 species
GCCUACGGGGGGCAGCAAUUAGGAAUCUUGCGCAAUGGGCGAAAGCCUGACGCAGCGACGUCGCGUGAAGGAUGACGGCCUUCGGGUUGUAAACUUCUUUUAUCAGGGAAGAACACAAUGACGGUACCUGAUGAAUAAGCCCCGGCUAACUACGUGCCAGCAGCCGCGGUAAUACGUAGGGGGCGAGCGUUGUCCGAAUUUACUGGGCGUAAAGCGCGCGUAGGCGGACCUUUAAGUGGAGGGUGAAAUCUCAAGGCUCAACCUUGAAACUGCCUUCCAAACUGGAGGUCUUGAGGUAUGGAGAGGGAAGUGGAAUUCCUGGUGUAGCGGUGAAAUGCGUAGAUAUCAGGAGGAACACCCGUGGCGAAGGCGGCUUCCUGGCCAUAUCCUGACGCUGAGGUGCGAAAGCUAGGGGAGCGAACGGGAUUAGAUACCCGCGUAGUCCC